GGAGGGUGCAAGCGUUAAUCGGAAUUACUGGGCGUAAAGCGCACGUAGGUGGAAAAUUAAGUUGGAUGUGAAAGCCCCGGGCUCAACCUGGGAGGGCCAUCCAAAACUGGUUAUCUAGAGUACAGUAGAGGGAAGUGGAAUUUCCGGUGUAGCGGUGAAAUGCGUAGAUAUCGGAAGGAACACCAGUGGCGAAGGCGACUUUCCGGACUGAUACUGACACCGAGGUGCGAAAGCGUGGGGAGCGAACAGGAUUAGAUACCCUGGGUAGUCCACGCCGUAAACGAUGAGAACUAGCCGUUGGGUAAAUUAAUUACUGAGUGGCGCAGCAAACCGCGUUAAGUUCUCCGCCUGGGGAGUACGGCCGCAAGGCUA
rnacentral:rRNA from 1 species